rnacentral:rRNA from 1 species
GAUGAACGCUGGCGGCGUGCCUAAUACAUGCAAGUCGAGCGAACGGACGAGAAGCUUGCUUCUCUGAUGUUAGCGGCGGACGUGUGAGUAACACGUGGAUAACCUACCUAUAAGACUGGGAGAACGUCGGGAAACCGGAGCUAAUACCCUAUAAUAUUUUAAACCUCAUUGUUCAAAAGUGAAAGACGGUCUUGCUGUAUCUUAUAGCUAGAUCCUCGCUGCAUUAUCUAUUUGGUAAGGUAACGGCUAACCAAGGCAACGAUGCAUAGCCGACCUGAGAGGGUGACCGGCAACACUGGAACUGAGACACGGUCCAGACUCCUACGGGAGGAAGAAGUAGGGAAUCUUCCGCAAUGGCGGAAAGCCUGACGGAGCAACGCCGCGUGAGUGAUGAAGUUCUUCGGACCGUAAAACUUUGUUAUUAGGGAAGACCAUAUGUGUAAGUAACUGUGCACAUCUUGACGGUACCUAAUCAGAAAGCCACGGCUAACUACGUG